AAAUUAAUUUGGCAUUUGUUUUUCAGCAUUUAUCGAAAUUCGAGCGUUAGCGGCAGUCGAGGCAGCGAGGUAUACACAUAACUACAUCCCCUUCAACCACUUCAGUCAAGGAUUUGCACCUACGGGGUUAUAUCCAACACUUUAUUCGCCAAUCUGCUUACCUCCCAUGUCUGCUUACUCGGGUGUGUUGCUAAGUAGUGUUCAUACAACGCCACCACCACAUUCACCUACGACACCAGCCAGGCCAAGAAGUAGAGCGUGACAUUUCCCAAAUGAAAGCUUAAUGUGAUGGAAAACUUCCACUACUACAAAUUGGAAACUAAACCGAAUUACCAUAAUUAAAAUUUUUAUUGUUACAGUAAGUAAGUAUGUAAGUCUAAUCCGUCUCUAUGUAAUAUAUUCGUCCUAUUGCAACAAUAAUGUUCGCCUGAAGCAGCAAUAAUAAUGGAGCACAAAACAUCUUUACUGACAACUAUUUAAAAAUGUGUGCGAUAGUUAGAAAUAGUGCAUUUAAUUUUACGAGUACACGGGGGACUACCAUCGAGAAAAUCCUCCAUUUGUUUGUUAAAUAGCGUUUAUGUUUGCAUUACGUACCGAAUUCUUACUUUAGUUCCUGGGAGGUUUUCUGUAAAGUGUUCUCUGUCUACUCCUCUCCUGUCCCACGAUCUGGUGGUUGGCAACUGUAACGAAUAUGUGCAUAAAUUGUUAUGGGUUUUUGCCAUUAAUUUAGAUUUUGAAAAAUGCGUGGCCAAAAUGUGUUUUAUUUUCACAUAAACUUAAGUAUUUAUUUUCCUUAUAAGAUUGAAGAUUGUAUAUUUUCGUAGUUUAGGUACGUUAUUUAAUACAUGUUGAAAUGAUGUUCCAUUUUAAGGAUCAUGUGAUAAUAUAAAUAAUUAGUUGAGUAAUCAUUUUUACUAAUAGGGCCGUGAUAUUAAAUGUAAAAAGUUUACUAUAAUGACCAUAUAAUAUUUGUUUUUGUUUAAAAGCCAAUUUAUGAUGAUAGUCUUUAUCACUGUAUAGUUAAUCACACGAUUAACGUGUGAAUGUCCAUCGUUUUGCAUGCGUUUCAUUUACGAUACCUUGUGUAUGCCUAGAGUAAUUACUGAGCAUAUGCUGUACCUAUAAUAAAUUUUAAGUAUGUAAUAAAAAGUAACUGUAUUUAA